AUGGCUCAGGACAAACGGCUGGCGGCGUGCCUAACACAUGCAAGUCGAACGGACCCUCGGGGUUAGUGGCAGACGGGUGAGUAACACGUAGGUAAUGUACCUUCUUGCUGGGGGAUACCGUACCCGAAAAGGGUGGUUAAUACCGAAUGGUCUCGCGCUGCGGCAUCGCGGUGCGAGUAAAGUGAUUUAGCGCGAGAGGAUCAGCCUGCGGGCCAUCAGCUGGUUGGUGGGGUAACGGCCUACCAAGGCAUCGACGGUUAGCCGGUCUGAGAGGAUGAUCGGCCACACUGGAACUGAGAGACGGUCCAGACUCCUACGGGAGGCAGCAGUGAGGAAUAUUGCGCAAUGGGCGGAAGCCUGACGCAAGCGACGCCGCGUGAGGGAUGAAGGUUUUCGGAUCGUAAACCUCUGUUAAGCAGGGAAGAGAACGGACGGUACCUGCUGAGGAAGCAUCGGCUUACUACGUGCCAGCAGCCGC
rnacentral:rRNA from 1 species